AAAGCCUGAUGCAGCUAUGCCGCGUGUAUGAAGAAGGCCUUAGGGUUGUAAAGUACUUUCAACAAGAAAGAAAAGAUAAAAUCUAAUAUAUUUUAUCAUUGACGUUACUUGUAAAAGAAGCACCGGCUAACUCCGUGCCAGCAGCCGCGGUAAUACGGAGGGUGCGAGCGUUAAUCGGAAUUACUGGGCGUAAAGAGCACGUAGGCUGUUAAUUAAGUCAGAUGUGAAAUCCCUAAGCUUAACUUAGGAACUGCAUUUGAAACUAAUUAGCUUGAGUUUCGUAGAGGGGGGUAGAAUUCCAGGUGUAGCGGUGAAAUGCGUAGAUAUCUGGAGGAAUACCAGUGGCGAAGGCGACCCCCUGGACGAAUACUGACGCUCAGGUGCGAAAGCAUGGGGAGCAAACAGGAUUAGAUACCCUGGUAGUCCAUGCCGUAAACAAUGUCGACUUGAAGGUUGUAAGCUUGACUUAUAGCUUUCGAAGCUAACGCGUUAAGUCGACCGCCUGGGGAGUACGACCGCAAGGUUAAAACUCAAAUGAAUUGACGGGGGCCCGCACAAGCGGUGGAGCAUGUGGUUUAAUUCGAUGCAACGCGAAAAACCUUACCUGGUCUUGACAUCCAUGGAAUUUAAUAGAGAUAUUUUAGUGCCUUCGGGAACCAUGAGACAGGUGCUGCAUGGCUGUCGUCAGCUCGUGUUGUGAAAUGUUGGGUUAAGUCCCGCAACGAGCGCAACCCUUAUCCUUUGUUGCCAUCAGCUAGGCUGGGAACUCAAAGGAGACUGCCGGUGAUAAACCGGAGGAAGGUGAGGACGACGUCAAGUCAUCAUGGCCCUUACGACCAGGGCUACACACGUGCUACAAUGGUAUAUACAAAGGGAAGCAUCCUCGUAAGAGUAAGCGAAUCUCAUAAAAUAUAUCUUAGUUCGGAUUGGAGUCUGCAACUCGACUCUAUGAAGUCGGAAUCGCUAGUAAUCGUAGAUCAGAAUGCUACGGUGAAUACGUUCCCGGGCCUUGUACACACCGCCCGUCACACCAUGGAAGUGGGUUGUAAAAGAAGUAAGUUGUUUAACCUGUUUUAUUAGGAGG
rnacentral:rRNA from 1 species